rnacentral:rRNA from 1 species
UCAAGAAACUUCCACAAUGGGCGAAAGCCUGAUGGAGCGACGUCGCGUGAUGGACGAAGUGCUUCGGCACGUAAACAUCUUUUAUGUGGGAUGAAAUUAUUGACAGUACCACAUGAAUAAGGGGCUCCUAACUCUGUGCCAGCAGGAGCGGUAAUACAGAGGCCCCAAGCGUUAUCCGGAAUCACUGGGCGUAAAGGGUGUCGAGGCGGUUGUAUUAGUCGUUCGUAAAAUCUACGAGCUUAACUUGUAGGCGGCGAACGAAACGGUACGACUUGAGGUUUGGAGAGGUGCGUGGAACUCACGGUGUAGGGGUGAAAUCCGUUGAUAUCGUGGGGAACACCAGUGGCGAAGGCGGCUUCCUGGACCAAUACUGACACUGAGACGCGAAAGCGUGGGGAGCAAACAGGAUUAGAUACCCAAGUAGUCCCUGAGCGGGCUGGCAAGGCGCAU